UACGUAGGGUGCGAGCGUUGUCCGGAAUUAUUGGGCGUAAAGAGCUCGUAGGCGGUUUGUCGCGUCUGCUGUGAAAAUCCAGGGCUUAACCCUGGACCUGCAGUGGGUACGGGCAGACUAGAGUGCGGUAGGGGAGAUCGGAAUUCCUGGUGUAGCGGUGAAAUGCGCAGAUAUCAGGAGGAACACCGGUGGCGAAGGCGGAUCUCUGGGCCGUAACUGACGCUGAGGAGCGAAAGCGUGGGGAGCGAACAGG
rnacentral:rRNA from 1 species